rnacentral:lncRNA from 11 species
AGGAACUUCAGGCAAGUACCCACACUUUCUCUCCUGGGCCUGCACCACUAGAAGCCAAAUAUCUUUCCAAGGCAUGUUAAGGAGGCUUCCCACUUCUAAGUGCAAGGGGUCACCUGAUAUAUUUCAGCACAAGACCGGGAGAGCUCCUUUUGGUAACCUCCCAGGAGUGCAUGACAUAGGACACUUUCUGUUGCUGUUGAAUUUUCCCUUGCAGCCUGCUGAUGCCCUGAUACACCAAAUCUUAGUCAGGAGAUCUUUACUCUUCAAACCGCAGCAAACCUUAACAGCUCCAUCGCUUCAGUUUCUUUUUAAUUAAAGUGUGAACUCCAACCUUUUGUCUAUGUAACUUGGUUCGCUCCAUCUUAGGUUUUAGCAUUUCCAUCUUCUCCCCAAUUUCAGCACAAUUUCUAGAACAAUCUCCCAUUGCUUAGAUAUAUGUUGGAUUACAGUCCCUGUCAUUCCCAGCCAGCAUGGGUAUGCUGUCCAGGACACGUGAGCACUGCAGUCAUCUAGAGGGUGC